rnacentral:rRNA from 1 species
AGAGUUUGAUCCUGGCUCAGGAUGAACGCUGGCGGUAUGCUUAACACAUGCAAGUCGAACGGUGUCUUCGGACAUAGUGGCGGACGGGUGAGUAACGCGUGAGAAUCUGCCUUCAGGUUGGGGACAACAGCUGGAAACGGCUGCUAAUACCCAAUGUGCCGAGAGGUGAAAGCUUUAGUGCCUGAGGAUGAGCUCGCGUCUGAUUAGCUAGUUGGAGUGGUAAUGGCACACCAAGGCGACGAUCAGUAGCUGGUCUGAGAGGAUGAUCAGCCACACUGGGACUGAGACACGGCCCAGACUCCUACGGGAGGCAGCAGUGGGGAAUUUUCCGCAAUGGGCGCAAGCCUGACGGAGCAAUACCGCGUGAGGGAGGAAGGCUUUUGGGUUGUAAACCUCUUUUAUCAGGGAAGAAGAUCUGACGGUACCUGAUGAAUCAGCAUCGGCUAACUCCGUGCCAGCAGCCGCGGUAAUACGGAGGAUGCAAGCGUUAUCCGGAAUUAUUGGGCGUAAAGCGUCCGCAGGUGGUUAUCCAAGUCUGCUGUUAAAGCGCGAGGCUUAACUUCGUACAGGCAGUGGAAACUGGAUGACUAGAGUAUGGUAGGGGUCGCGGGAAUUCCCAGUGUAGCGGUGAAAUGCGUAGAUAUUGGGAAGAACACCAGCGGCGAAAGCGCGCGACUGGGCCAUAACUGACACUCAUGGACGAAAGCUAGGGGAGCGAAAGGGAUUAGAUACCCCUGUAGUCCUAGCUGUAAACGAUGGGUACUAGGUGUUGACCGUAUCGACCCGGUCAGUGCCGUAGCUAACGCGUUAAGUACCCCGCCUGGGGAGUAUGCACGCAAGUGUGAAACUCAAAGGAAUUGACGGGGGCCCGCACAAGCGGUGGAGUAUGUGGUUUAAUUCGAUGCAACGCGAAGAACCUUACCAGGGCUUGACAUGUCGCGAAUCCCGGUGAAAGUCGGGAGUGCCUUCGGGAGCGCGAACACAGGUGGUGCAUGGCUGUCGUCAGCUCGUGUCGUGAGAUGUUGGGUUAAGUCCCGCAACGAGCGCAACCCUCGUUUUUAGUUGCCAGCACUUAGGGUGGGCACUCUAAAGAGACUGCCGGUGACAAACCGGAGGAAGGUGGGGAUGACGUCAAGUCAGCAUGCCCCUUACGUCCUGGGCUACACACGUACUACAAUGCAACGGACAAAGGGCAGCAAGCUAGCAAUAGCAAGCAAAUCUCGUAAACCGUUGCUCAGUUCAGAUCGAAGGCUGCAACUCGCCUUCGUGAAGGUGGAAUCGCUAGUAAUUGCAGGUCAGCAUACUGCAGUGAAUUCGUUCCCGGGCCUUGUACACACCGCCCGUCACACCAUGGAAGCUGGUAGUGCCCGAAGUCAUUACCCCAACCUUUCGAGGAGGGGGAUGCCUAAGGCAGGACUGGUGACUGGGGUGAAGUCGUAACAAGGUAACC